rnacentral:rRNA from 1 species
UACGUAGGGUGCAAGCGUUAAUCGGAAUUACUGGGCGUAAAGCGUGCGCAGGCGGCUUUGCAAGUCAGAUGUGAAAUCCCCGGGCUUAACCUGGGAACUGCAUUUGUGACUGCAUGGCUGGAGUGCGGCAGAGGGGGAUGGAAUUCCGCGUGUAGCAGUGAAAUGCGUAGAUAUGCGGAGGAACACCGAUGGCGAAGGCAGUCCCCUGGGCCUGCACUGACGCUCAUGCACGAAAGCGUGGGGAUCAAACAGG